rnacentral:rRNA from 1 species
UCUGCCUAGUAGUGGGGGAUAACUUGCCGAAAGGUAAGCUAAUACCGCAUACGUCCUACGGGAGAAAGCAGGGGACCUUCGGGCCUUGCGCUAUUAGAUGAGCCUAGGUCGGAUUAGUUAGUUGGUGAGGUAAUGGCUCACCAAGACCGCGAUCCGUAACUGGUCUGAGAGGAUGAUCAGUCACACUGGAACUGAGACACGGUCCAGACUCCUACGGGAGGCAGCAGUGGGGAAUAUUGGACAAUGGGGGGAACCCUGAUCCAGCCAUGCCGCGUGUGUGAAGAAGGUCUUCGGAUUGUAAAGCACUUUAAGUUGGGAGGAAGGGCAGUUAACUAAUAUUUGACUGUUUUGACGUUACCGACAGAAUAAGCACCGGCUAACUUCGUGCCAGCAGCCGCGGUAAUACGAAGGGUGCAAGCGUUAAUCGGAAUUACUGGGCGUAAAGCGCGCGUAGGUGGUUCGUUAAGUUAGGAGUGAAAGCCCCCGGGCUCAACCUGGGAAUUGCUUCUAAAACUGGCGGGCUAGAGUAUGGUAGAGGGUGGUGGAAUUUCCUGUGUAACGGUGAAUUGCGUAGAUAUAGGAAUGAACAUCACUGGCGAAAGCGACCACUGG